AGCGAACGCUGGCGGCAUGCCUAACACAUGCAAGUCGAACGAACCUUUCGGGGUUAGUGGCGGACGGGUGAGUAACACGUGGGAACGUUCCUUUAGGUUCGGAAUAACUCAGGGAAACUUGUGCUAAUACCGAAUGUGCCCUUCUGGGGAAAGAUUUAUCGCCUUUAGAGCGUCCCGCGUCUGAUUAGCUAGUUGGGUGAGGUAAUGGCUCACCAAGGCGACGAUCAGUAGCUGGUCUGAGAGGCUGAUCAGCGACAUUUGGGCUGAGACACGGCCCAAAAUCCUCCGGGAAGCAGGAGUGGGGGAUCUUGCGACACGGGGGAAAGGAUGAAGGACCCAUGAUGCGUGAAUGAUGAAAGUCUUAGGAUUGUAAAAUUCUAUCAACGGGGACCAUAAUGACGGUACCCGGAGAAGAAGCCCCGGCUAACUUCGUG
rnacentral:rRNA from 1 species